UGUAGUAAUACAAGGCAGACGGCUCAGUAACGCGUAGUCAACCUACCCUAUGGACGGGGAUAACCUCGGGAAACUGAGAAUAAUACCCGAUAGAACAUUAUGCCUGGAAUGGUUUAUGUUUCAAAUAAUUUAUUGCCGUAGGAUGGGACUGCGGCCUAUCAGUUUGUUGGUGAGGUAAUGGCCCACCAAGACUAUUACAGGUACGGGCUCUGAGAGGAGUAGCCCGGAGAUGGGUACUGAGACACGGACCCAGGCCCUAUGGGGCGCAGCAGGCGAGAGAACUUUGCAAUGUGCGAAAGCACGACAAGGUUAAUCCGAGUGGUUUCUGCUAAAGGAACCUUUUGUCAGUCCUAGAAACACUGAUGAAUAAGGGGUGGGCAAGUUCUGGUGUCAGCCGCCGCGGUAAAACCAGCACCUCAAGUGGUCAGGAUGAUUAUUGGGCCUAAAGCAUCCGUAGCCUGCUUUGUUAGUUUUCGGUUAAAUCCAUACGCUCAACGUAUGGGCUGCCGGGAAUACUGCAAAGCUAGGGAGUGGGAGAGGUAGACGGUACUCGGUAGGAAGGGGUAAAAUCCUUUGAUCUAUUGAUGACCACCUGUGGCGAAGGCGGUCUACCAGAACACGUCCGACGGUGAGGGAUGAAAGCUGGGGGAGCAAACCGGAUUAGAUACCCGGGUAGUCCCAGCUGUAAACUAUGCAAACUCAGUGAUGCAUUGGCUUGAUGCCAAUGCAGUGCUGCAGGGAAGCCGUUAAGUUUGCCGCCUGGGAAGUACGUACGCAAGUAUGAAACUUAAAGGAAUUGGCGGGGGGAGCACCACAAGGGGUGAAGCCUGGCGGGUUCAAUUGGA
rnacentral:rRNA from 1 species